CAAGAGUAGACCUUCCAAUUCGCUGCGUAAUCUGCUCCAGUGUUUUCCUACCUUCCUAAUGAUAAAAUUCUUUCUAAUAUCUAACCUAAACAUCCCUUGCUGCAACUUGAGACUAUUGCUCCUUAUUCUGGCAUCUGCCACCAUUAAGAACAGUCUAUCUCCAUCCUCUUUCAAGCCCCUUUUCGGGUAGUUGAAGGAUCCUAUUAAAUCCCCUCUCAGUCUUCUUCUCUAGACUAAGUAAGCCCAGUUCCCUUAGCCUGUCCUCGUACGUCA